AUCGCUUCUCGGCUCCUCGGAGCUAAGAUCAAAAGUGUAGUGUCUGUUCUUAUCAGUUUGAUCACUGAUAGGUCCUUUCUGGAAGGAUCGUGUGUUAUCUCGGUUUUUGGAGCAGGGGUUUGGGCUUGGAGCUUGCUUCGUCCACCCCAUGCAUCGACCUGGUAUUGCAGUGUUUCCAGGACCGGUGCAUCCCCU
ensembl:snRNA U2 U2 spliceosomal RNA